rnacentral:tRNA from 2 species
GCGCCCGUAGCUCAACGGAUAGAGCACCGGCCUUCUAAGCCGGUGGUUGCAGGUUCGAGUCCUGCCGGGCGCGCCA